AUACUCUGGUUUCUCUUCAGAUUGUAUAAAUCUUUUGCCUUUUACUAAAGAUUUCCAUAGAGACGAACAGGCACAAGUGCCAAGAAUUUUCAUUUUUCUCAUUAGCAACACAGGUGUAGGG
ensembl:snRNA U5 U5 spliceosomal RNA